GAGCGUAGGGCGCGAGCGUUUGUUCCGGAAUUUAUUGGGCGUAAAGAGCUCGUAGGCGGCUUGUCGCGUCGAAUGUGAAAACUCACAGCUCAACUGUGGGCGUGCGGGCGAAUACGGGCAGACUAGAGUGUGGUAGGGGAGACUGGAAUUCCUGGUGUAGCGGUGAAAUGCGCAGAUAUCAGGAGGAACACCGAUGGCGAAGGCAGGUCUCUGGGCCACUACUGACGCUGAGAAGCGAAAGCAUGGGGAGCAAACAGG
rnacentral:rRNA from 1 species